rnacentral:rRNA from 1 species
GAGUUUGAUCAUGGCUCAGGAUGAACGCUAGCGGCAGGCUUAAUACAUGCAAGUCGAGGGGCAGCAGCUUUAUAGCAAUAUAGAGGCUGGCGACCGGCAAACGGGUGCGGAACACGUACACAACCUUCCUUGAAUAGGGGGAUAGCCCAUAGAAAUGUGGAUUAAUACCCCGUAAUAUAGCGGUGUGGCAUCACACUGUUAUUAUAGUUUCGGCGAUUCGAGAUGGGUGUGCGGCUGAUUAGGUAGUUGGCGGGGUAAAGGCCCACCAAGCCUUCGAUCAGUAGCUGAUGUGAGAGCAUGAUCAGCCACACGGGCACUGAGACACGGGCCCGACUCCUACGGGAGGCAGCAGUAAGGAAUAUUGGUCAAUGGACGCAAGUCUGAACCAGCCAUGCCGCGUGAAGGAUGAAGGUCCUCUGGAUUGUAAACUUCUUUUAUAGGGGGCGAAAAAAGGUCUUUCUAGAUCACUUGACAGUACCCUAUGAAUAAGCACCGGCUAACUCCGUGCCAGCAGCCGCGGUAAUACGGAGGGUGCAAGCGUUAUCCGGAUUCACUGGGUUUAAAGGGUGCGUAGGCGGGUAGGUAAGUCAGAGGUGAAAUCCUGGAGCUUAACUCCAGAACUGCCUUUGAUACUAUCUAUCUUGAAUAUGGUGGAGGUAAGCGGAAUAUGUCAUGUAGCGGUGAAAUGCAUAGAUAUGACAUAGAACACCUAUUGCGAAAGGCAGCUUACUACGCCUAUAUUGACGCUGAGGCACGAAAGCGUGGGGAUCAAACAGGAUUAGAUACCCUGGUAGUCCACGCCCUAAACGAUGAUUACUCGACGUAUGCGAUACACAGUAUGCGUCUGAGCGAAGCAUUAAGUAAUCCACCUGGGAAGUACGACCGCAAGUUGAAACUCAAAGGAAUUGCGGGGUCGCCACAGCGGUGGAGCAUGUGCUUUAAUUCGAUGAUMSCGAGACCUACUGGCUAGAUGCAUCUGACCUKGGUGAAAGCUCAAUUCGUAGCAUACCCAAAUUGUAAGSUGCUGCAURGCYGUUC